rnacentral:misc_RNA from 1 species
GAGAACUGCUUCUUGAACCCGACAAGAAGGCAAUUCUGAAGGCACGAGUUGGACGAAAUAUGGAUGGAAUGGAUCUGAAUCUGUAUCGUCAAUCUCUGCAACUCUUGAGAGAUUUCCAAGCUGGUCGUUGAAUAGUUAGACGCCUUAGUAUAAGAUUUAUCAAUGAAAAUUAACCAAAAGUAAUAGCUAGAUCUCAUGUUGUAAAGGGCG